CGUAAACAAAGGGAAGCGAAGUGGCGACAUGGAGCAAAUCCCAAAAAUAACGUCCCAGUUCGGAUUGUAGUCUGCAACCCGACUACAUGAAGCCGGAAUCGCUAGUAAUCGCGGAUCAGAAUGCCGCGGUGAAUACGUUCCCGGGUCUUGUACACACCGCCCGUCACACCAUGGGAGUUGGAAAUGCCCGAAGUCAGUGGCCCAACCGGAAGGGGGGAGCUGCCGAAGGCAGGUUCGAUGACUGGGGUGAAGUCGUAACAAGGUAUC
rnacentral:rRNA from 1 species